UGACCCACAGCAGGCAACAUCCUAGA
rnacentral:piRNA from 1 species